UCAACAUCCAAUACGAGAUUUGCAAUCUGAGGGGCCGUUUAUACUUUCAUAAUGUGCAGUGUGCUUCUUUCAAACUUUGGACUGCCCAAAGUAAUUCUUCUUAGUUCAGCCAUGAUCGAAACAGUUUUUCGCAUAGGCCGGUGAGAGCAUCUGUCGCGUGAAAAGAGGUCAAGCCCAUGUGAUUAUUCUCUUGCAAUCCAGGUUCCUCCUCCCACAACAUAAUGACGAU
rnacentral:lncRNA from 1 species